CCUACGGGUGGCAGCAGUGAGGAAUAUUGGUCAAUGGCCGAGAGGCUGAACCAGCCAAGUCGCGUGAGGGAAGAAUGUCCUACGGAUUGUAAACCUCUUUUGUCAGGGAGCAAAGCAACCCACGUGUGGGCUUUGGAGAGUACCCGAAGAAAAAGCAUCGGCUAACUCCGUGCCAGCAGCCGCGGUAAUACGGAGGAUGCGAGCGUUAUCCGGAGUUAUUGGGUUUAAAGGGUGCGUAGGCGGGUUAUCAAGUCAGCGGUAAAAUCGUGGAGCUCAACUCCAUCCAGCCGUUGAAACUGAUGGUCUUGAGUGGGCGAGAAGUAUGCGGAAUGCGGGGUGUAGCGGUGAAAUGCUUAGAUAUCACGCAGAACUCCGAUUGCGAAGGCAGCAUACCGGCGCCCGACUGACGCUGAAGCACGAAAGCGUGGGUAUCGAACAGGAUUAGAUACCCCAGUAGUC
rnacentral:rRNA from 1 species